rnacentral:lncRNA from 1 species
GAAUUAUCGUUUAUGGAUGAUAAUAAAUAUAAAAUAAAAUAAAGAAACUCGCAGAGAGGUACAGGAGGCGUGAGGCCGAGAUGGGAUCCAAGGAAAAGAGGAAGGUGUCUUCUGGUUAGCAACUAGUAGCAACGCAGAGGCAGCCCAUGCCCAAUUGUGCUUUUCCUUUGGGUGCCCAUUUCCCUUUGCCUUAAUCAAAACUGGACCUAAUACCAACAAAAAUAUGCGUUACGGCAUUCACGUGAGUUAGACAGAGUUUGGCCCAUACCACAAUCCAAACUAGAAACAAAUACAAAUGGUUGGUAGACUCGUUGCCUGUGUAGGGUCCACGCCCUAUUUCCUUCCCCCUAACUCUAUCUCUUUAUUCGCUUCAACAGGAUUUCCUCAUUACAGCGCUUCUGAGCUGCGAGCGGUUAGGGGCACCUGUUGAUCUACAACCACAUACAUGAUACAUGGGUGAUGGGUCCUUUGCGAUUGUCAUCUUCAACCACCCUUUGUUGGCUCCAUCCCCCAACGCCAGCUUCGUGAAAAUUAAUUGACUAGAAGAAAUUAUGCACAAAAGCAGGUGGCUCACUUGCUCAUCAAGCCAUCAUUAUCAAAUUUUGUGCUCAAAAUAAAGUGAGCCAAGGCAUGAGCAACAGAGUUAAGAUCUCGCCUAGUGAUAGAGAAGGAUACAGUGUUUCAAGGCUUUUAGCCCUGUCUCAUCCUGAGCACUUCACAUUGAGGGUUUGUUCUAGAAGGAGAGAAACAAUCUCGAUAAGACUUCGGAGGAAUCUGUUUCUACUGGAAGCUCUGCAGGACAGACCCAAUUGCAUCGCACACCAAAUAUGAAUAGUCAUGUAGCUUCUACUGCUGAGAGGUAAGAUUAAAUAAGAACUUGGCUUUGUUUAGGCCAGCCUAGCUUGCAUCCGGUAACAGGAUUUCUAGUUUGAACAGCGCCAGCGGACAGAGACACACAUCUCCCUCAUUUUUCAUCUCAUCUUUUCCCCGUACCUUGUACGCUUGUAACAAUAUAUAGACUAAUAAUUAUAUUCCGCAAGUAUCCUCCUGUUACGAGACCUGAUUACGUACUCCAAAAUGUAAGUGGCAUGUCAAAACCUACAAAGCAUGCCUAUAGUCCUUAAGCAUAGGACUACAGGCAUCACUGAUUCAAUUUCCGGUAUGAUUGCAGGGUUACAGUAAUCUGUCAAUUGUUUAUAGCUACCAUCCUUAAAUUAUUCCAUCCUUAAAUUAUUCCAUCCAUAAGGUUUGCUUGUUCAGUCCGGACAGCCUUAACAUUUACUGCCAAAUAGAGCAUCCAAGUGCCUGAAUUUGUUUAGUUUCAUAUCAAAUAUGCUUACAUGAUGCCACUAGGGGAUAAAAAGUUGAGAAAAUUCCUUAUUUCCCACUAAUCUAUCAUGCCUGGCCCGGUUACCAUGCAUUUAUUUGGUUGAAUAUCCUGAAAUCAAGCACAAGAAUUCAGUCAACAGUGUAAGCCCUAUCGUCAUUAUAACAGGACCCUGAGCAUGUCCUAACAAGGUUAUUCGAAUGGGCUUGCGUUAUUACCAGUAUGAAACCGCAGCUAAACUUGGUCAAAAGCUUCUUUUAACAAGCUCAUAUUCUGCUUGCUGAGUGGGGCACCGCAAUUUAUCUGUGGUCAGAUUACUUGCAAAGAGAUUAAUAAUCAAAAGAAGAAGCUAGGAGUGAUUUCUACCAAACUUCAAACUUCUUUUUGUAUGGGCUCCUCUUCAGAUUUCUUGCCAAAAAUUCUUAAUUUCCAUCAAAGGAUAUCCGCUCAUGCAAUUAUAACAUCAGGACCCGCCUAAAACUUGCUAGAAAUGUGUUAAUAUGAUGUUUCCUUGUCAACCUAUUUCACGAAUCAAAAGCAAGAUGUAUCAACAGCGCACACAACUGUAUAUGCGCAAAUUCUAUUGUAAUAACAGGUACUUGCGUUUUCCUUAAAUAAAUGCUUCAGGGCCUGUCGAUCUCCUUUCUACUAUUGGUAUCUUUCGAGG